ACACCCUGACCAACCAAAAUAGAGACAUAAAAGGAUCUCUAAGGUCAGGGCGUGACACAGACUUGAUGUAGUCGCUGCAUUCAAGGAAUAUCGGACCAAAUACUAAACUUUUGACUACUUUAAUACACUAUGAGUGAAUUAGUCAGAAAACAUAUGACUUCUUUAAAUAGGGGGACUAGAUACAUAAAGUGCUUUUCAUUUUCUAAAUGUUAAAACAGAUAUGUAUUAAAAUAACCUCAAAUAAAAGGUGACAUUAUAUACUGUCACCUCAUAUGAAACAUUUGAUCUGAAAUGUAAAAUGUUGGAGUUUAGAGCCACAUUUAAAAUGUUAUCUUCACUGUCAAAAUAGAUAUGGUGUGGACUGUAUACUCAAUACAAUCUAAAUCUGAUACCUCACUGUCUGUCUUUUGACUGAUACUGCUUUUAAACUGGUCUGGUCAGUCUACUCAAAUAUUUGAUAAUAUGCAUCUUUCUAUCUACAAGCAAUACUUGGAAAAUGUGUCAUUUAUAAUAAUGAAACAUUUCUGAAUAGAUAUGUCAGGUUUCAGGACACUGAUAUUUCUGAAUAUGUUGAAAAAAUAUACUGCCACUAUUUUCACCACCAAAGAAUAGCAGUGUGAUUUUAAUAUGAUUUGACUCUUUGCAGGCUGUCAGGCUGUCUAGUCACAGAGGAAGGCUGUGCUUCUCUGGUCUCAGCUCUGAGGUCAAACCCCUCACACCUGAGAGAGCUGGACCUGAGCUACAAUCACCCAGGAGACUCAGGAGUCAGACUGCUCUCUGCUGGACUGGAGGAUCCACACUGCAGACUGGAGAAACUCAAUGUGGAACAUGGUGGAGAGAACAGAAUGAAACCUGGACUUAGAAAAUAUGUCUGUGAUCUCACACUGGACCUAAACACAGUAAACAGACACCUCUCUCUGUCUGAGGAGAACAGAAAGGUGACAUGUAGGAGAGAGAAGCAGCCGUAUCCUGAUCACCCAGAGAGAUUUGAGGACUGGAGACAGGUGCUGUGUGGAGAGGGUUUGACUGGGCGCUGUUACUGGGAGGUAGAGUGGAGUGGGAGAGGGGAGGUUGAGUGGAGUGGGGGGGCUGUUAUAGGAGUGACAUAUAAAGGAAUCAACAGGAGAGGAGUGGUUAAGUACUGUUGUCUUGGAUCCAAUGACAAGUCCUGGAGUCUGUUCUGCUAUGACAACAGUUACUCUGCCUGUCACAAUAAUAACUCCACUACCAUAGAUGUCCCCUCCUCCAGCUCCCACAGAGUAGGAGUGUAUCUGGACUGGUCAGCCGGCACUCUGUCCUUCUAUAGAGCCUCCUCUGACACACUGACCCACCUGAUCACAUUCACCUCCACAUUCACUGAGCCCCUCUAUCCAGGGUUUUGGGUUUAUUCUGUUGGCUCUUCAGUGUCCCUGAAAUAAUAACUGGA